AAAUAUGCACUUUUUCAUGAAUGGUUGGGAAGAAAGUACCCUUUGUUAUUUGAUCGAAAUCCGAGCAUAAUCGUCAUUUCUAUUUAGCGGGGCCUACCCGGCUAGCUAACUAACAGUAACGUUAGCUCGCUAACGUUAACUGUCUUUCACCAACUAACAAGGGUUAGGUAACGUUAGCUACAACUAACUAGCUAAUCCAAGGGGCAUUAUCAACGGUCUCGAGUCUCCAGACAGAACGUUCCAGAAAGCAAUCUAUCCUAGCUAGUAUUAGUUAACUAUGCCAUUUGUUCCUUCGUAUUGGCAAUUGACGUUACUUUACAAUGACAAAAUUGGUUCGAGGUUCUAGUUUAUCUAGCUAACGUUAAUUGACUAAAUCUGCAAACCACCCUGAACUGUGCUGUUCUAUGUGUAUCCUUUGUCACUGCAUUUUUGCCACUCAUGUUAGGUUGCCUAUGGAUUAUCCUAGGAAGCAAAAAGUGGCUAGAGGAUAAAACCAUGCUGAGGCCAGACGGAAUGACCCAUUUCUCAGUCACGAUGAUAAUGCCAUCAUAGUAGCUACUUGCCACACAAGUGUCAACUGUUGUAACCGUUGUAUAUGUAUAUUGGUCUGCUCAUUACAUUUUUCAAAUGAACGGAUGUGGCCUUUUUUUUGCCUACUUAGCGUUGAGAUCCAGUUAUCAAUGAUCUUUGUGCUCGCUAGUUAGCGACUUAGCAUUUAAGUUUGGUUUUCAAAAGAAACGAAGUGUGCACUUGAUGUGGUUGCAGGAUAUCACGCUGUUAGUUUACAUGGAUGGGCCUAAUGGAAAAAAGUGGAUGUGGACAGUUUACCCAAACAAAAUGACACAAUUACUGUUGACUAACCCCGUUCAGUAAAAAUUUGCGCAACCGCGGCAUUCAAACGAGACCGCAAUGAAAACUAAUAGGACUGUGUUGGCAUCAAAAUCUGGGUUGUGAACUACGUUUCUAUUGACAUGGUAAUGGCCGGAUAGUAUUGGAGGAGAAAAGUUGAAAAAACUGCCCCCUCUGACGCUGUUAAAUUGUGACGUACGUACGCAUUAUGCAACUCAUUCUGUGUAGUACAGCCUCUCUCCACCAGGUGUAGGGCUUCUCUCGCAGUUUAAAAACAAGAAAGGGACAGGGUAAGGCGGAUACUUAGUCAAUUGUACAACUAAAUGCAUUCAUUUUUUUGCAUAAUCGCUGCAAGCCACCAUGACUCAAAAUCCGCAACAGCCGCUGUUUACUUCUGAAGAUAACUUUAGUGCCGCCCUAAAAACCCGACUCUAACUCGACAAACUUCAAAUAGUAGGUUUCGUUUCCCCACCCGCCAUUUUUAAAAAGACCCAACAGAGCUCAUUGCCUUCUUCAAUCAUGCAGAGACGGGCAGCAUGACGGGCUUGUCAUUGAUUUUCCUGGAAAGGGUAGAUAAUUGUGCUUUACAAUGGUAUUCAUAUUACAGUUGACCUGGAAGUAUUAUGUUUUUUUGGGCGUUAAAAUAAGGUCAGUCAAUAUCGUUAGCUAACUAUAUGUGGUAACCCUUAGCAAGCUAGUUGCAUUCGUUUUCGAGAUGAUCAAUCUCUGUUGAGGGAGGAGCUGGUUUUAACAAUUCUGAACACAUUCCGUUUGUCAAAAUAAUGACUUAUGUUCGCUAGCUGGACAGGCAAACGCCGCCAAAUACUAAACUGUAAACCAAUAUAAAUUUGUGUACUAUCGCCGGUGAUCAUGUUAUCCGUAUCUAAGGUAGUAGAAAACUGCUGACGUCGAGAGACCUCCUUCCGACAAACUGCUAUCAGGUCUCUCACUUGUCUCACGUGAUCUAUUCAGCUCUCCUGUGUCCAUCUCCCAGAGAUCAACCAAGUGCUAUUCGCCAAGCAUGGGCUAAUGUUGGUGGGUGGAGCUGGGAGGGUCGUCUGCGAGAUGGGACACACCUUGGCUCAGGUGUGUCCUGGCAAUAAAUACUUUCCCCCAUACUUCGAGGAGACUCUCCGCGCAGACAUGUUGUUUUUGUUGGGGCAUUUUGGGGCUUUGUUAAUUUAUUUUGGCACCUCUCAACACCCCUCAUCACCAUCAAUGCACGCAUCCACUCACUUACACUACUGAUUAACACCAUUGUUACUUGUAUAUAAGUUACUUUAUUUAAUAAAUAUAUUUGUGUUAA